AUAGGACCUUAUCAAAAAAAAGUCAAGAAUUCAAAAAUUGUAAAUAUACGUAGCUCAGGGGAUGACCCAUAUCAAACCAAACAGAAAUCGUGGUUUAGGUACUGCCCACUGCCAAAACUUCUCACACACACACUCAUAGCGUCCGUCGCUCUCUCUGACGCCGUCAAAUCAAUCGUUUUGCCAGUUUUGCUUUUGCGUUUUUUUUUUGCGGUCUUGUGACGACAUGGAGAAGUAAAUUUUGAAGAAACCAAUGUAAAACUCGGUUAAAGAAUAUGACUUGUCAAGCAGCUUGCCGGCUCGGUUGCUGGCCCAGGAAACCUUUAGAAUGCUGCUCGUGCACUGAAAGAAAGUCACAUAGCAAUAUCACAUGUUUCACACGUGAAUCUGCCCCAUACGACUUUACAUGUGAAUGUCAUGUGCAAAUCACUUCGAAAAUAUUCAUCGCGGGAAACGGUAAAGUCAAAUGCAAAACACGUUAACUUCACGUGAUGACGCACAUGAAUUUGUGAUGCUUUUCACAUGAAUGUUAAAUGAUUUUGUUGUGUCAAUCAAAUGGUUUUCUAUUGGUAUUCAGUGUGGGGGAAAGUUGGAGUAAAGUCGAGAAACCAUGACAAUGUUCCAGCUCCCGGUCAAGAACGAAUUGGUGGUGAGCAGAAGUUAGAACCGCGAUAGCGUCGGUCGAAGAUCUUUUCUGGGCAAGAUCGGUGAAGUGCAUCUUACGAGCAACGAGUGCAGCAGUGAAAUUAUGUGUGGAAUUUGUUGUACAGUGAUGUUUUGAGAGUUUGGAAUAAAAAGUCGAAAACAAAAAACAACCGCUUUUUACUGCAAAAAAAAAACAAGAGUAACAAGAACUUUCUUGGUACACAUACACACACGCAAAAACAAUGCUCACCAAUACUUACACAACAAACGACACCGGGUGAACACCAAUACAAAUAAAAAAAAUGUUUCAUUUUGUGUGUGUUUUCGGUUUCAAAAGCUCUCGGUUGCGUGAAGGUAUUGAAACCGGAUCCGACCCAGACUGCUUCAGUGAGUAUGAAAGGCUUCAGUGCAAUGUUGUAACAACUUAUUGGGAUGGUCUGAGUUAUCCGAGAACUCUUUGGAGUUAAGACCGGCGAGUCUACCGCCGUAACAAGCAAGAUGUCGGCGGUUUUUGACCACUGAUCAUACCCGCAUGGCUCCAGUGAGUAUGGUAGACUACUAUGCUGAUGUGUUGGAGUGUCCUGGGUUCUCCUAGGACUCCCUGGAGUUAAGAUCUGUGGGUCUACUACCGUAACAAGCAAAAUGUCGACCGGUUUUGACAACGGAACAUACCCGCAUAGCUUCAGUGAGUGUGGUAGACUACUUUGCUAAUAUGUUAGGAUGUCCUGGAUCAUCCAAGGACUCCCGGAGUUAUGAUCUGUGGAGCUACAGCCGUAACAAGCAAGAGGUCGACGCUGCACUGUGUUAAGGCGCCCGUGGACCUGGCGGGUCUGGCGGAGUUGGAAUCAGACUCGGCGAACGAAAUGCAGAGGAAGCGAGCACGGUUGGAACGAGUGGCCGAGGAUCGAAAGCUGCCGGAAACUGCUGGUCAAUCGGAUCGCUGAGGACCAGCUCGACCACGUGAAGGACGCACGGACGGCCAAGAAGACCUGGGACGCGCUGCGCGUCGGAAUCGCUGGAAAGCUCUUCUUGAAGAAGCAGUUCCAGGAGUUACGGCUGGUGGAGGGCGGCGAUGUUCCGGCUUUCCUGGUCCAGUUUGAGAAGCUGCUACGCGAGUUGAAGGCGGCAGGGGUCAAGCUGGAGAAGGAGAUCGUUCGACGUUCGACGAACGUGCUACUGCGAUGCCGUCCAAGAACGACGACUACGAGCUGUGGCACCACAGAUUUGGCAACCUUGAGGAGGCGAACGUGAGAAACCUCUGGAGGGACGAGAUGGUGGAGAUCGCUCCCAAGAUCGAGAACUGGGCAAAGCAACGCGCGUGCGGGGUGAGACUGGCAGCGAAGCAGACAAGAACCGCGUUUAGAAAGUCGGACGGAAAACGCGACUUGGUGUUUGACGGGCGCCGACAAGAUCAACCGAAAACAGCGGGGGCACCUAACCGGCCUGUGGUGCCGAUGAUCCGAGACGAGAAACCUGCUGUGGUUGAACCGGUUGAGGAGCCUGUGGACAAUGUGAUGGGCUGCCUCAUCAAGAAGGUGUCGCCUGAAAUAAUAUUGGGUUCAUAAAAAAUGCCAUGCCUUAUUUGAAGCACAGCCUUCUUCCCGGAUGUGGGUGCACCCAGCCGGGCGGCCUCUUCGCGCAACCAUUUCAGCGAUUUGUCCGCCAGCGUUUGGAAAACAGCACUCAUGGUGAGCAACCCACACGAACGACGGAAAUGAGGAAACUGUGAGAAAAAAAAACUUUGUGGUUUGGUUGAGCGUUUUAGCAGAAUGCAUUACUAUGAAUACAAAGAGACGAGUUGUUCCUUUUAAUUCCGCUAUAUAUUUUUAAUAUCUUGACAGAUACGUAUUUCGUCUACUACUUGCAGACUUCAUCAGUGUUCUGUUCUCGACUUCAUCGCUGGUGUAUCCGUAUUUGUAGUUACUGUAGGUACUACCUCCUUGUUCAUCUUUGGUGCCUGUAGUAUCAAAACUCUCGAAUGCUAUUCACUCCAUCUGAAACAAGCCAAAGAAUUCCCCAUCGAAUUCGAAGCUUUUUUGAAGAAGGUGAAAGUAGCCGAGAAAUGCGAAUCAGAAAGGAAACGCAAGAUACUGGACAACAAAUUCCGACAUCCGAUUCCGAUUUCCCACAUUGCCCCGGCAACGAAACCAGUAGUUAAACCCUUAGAAGAGUUCGUUGUUAAUCGCUCUUCUGAAACUUUAUCAGAAGAACAGUUAACUUUACUCAACAAAGGUCUUAAAUACGCGGUAUCAUCAAAGCCAAACCUGGAAAACAUUGUUAUCGACAUCGAAACUGUUAUCAAUGCUAACAGCAUCGAUAAAAACCAGACCAAACCUCCCCCGCUCCUUCCAGCACAAAUCAACAGCGUCAGGAUGACGGUAUCCAAAUUGAUACGAGAAACUACAACAAAACACCAGGACAACGCCGAGGUACGAACAGUGAAGGAACUCAAGGAGAAACCAGUAUACUACCUAAAAGCGGACAAGGGAAACCGGGUAGUAAUCAUGGACCGAGACGAAUACGACAAGGAACUUCUUGAGAAACUCGGGAACAGGGAAAAAUAUUCACUAAAACGAGGAUACACGUUAAUUGAUAUAGCAUAGCAUAGCAUAGCAUAACGGGUCUGCACCACGCUGUAGGGGGUGCCACAAUGGUCAAUUCAAUAUUCUUAGACAAUUUGAUUGCUGCCCGGUACAUCCAAAAAUAUCUAAGAACGUAAAUUUCCACACUGUGCUCCAAGGCUACGCCCAUACAGUCCCGUGGGGAUUUGGGACGGGAUGUUUUUGUUGUUCACUAGUGGCAAAAGUGCAGGGAACCCAUGCAACUUUUAAAAGUGAACGGAAUAUUUUUGGGAGGUUUGGAAUGGGGGUUAGGGGAAUUUCAUCGGGCCAAUGAAAAUUGUUGAAUGCGUAAUGUAUUAAAUGAUUUGGAAGUUUGUACGUGUAAAUGUGAGUCUUUAGUGUAUUAUAUAAUAGGCAUGUAGUUUUGUAAAAAUAAUAAAUGAAACAAAUAUAAUACAUAUAAUAAAUAUAAUGAAUAAAAUCAAGAUGAUUCCAGGAAGCUGUAAAAAAAUAGCAGUAAUUUAAAAUAUAAAUGCUCCAGAUGGUUCCUAUGCUGUCCUAGAAAGUUUCAUUAAUUUAAACAGUUUGAUCAUAUAUGAUAUGAGGAUAUGGUGUGUUACAGGAAAGGAAAAGGAUAAGGAAUAAUAUAAACAUUUAUAUAAAUCAUAUAGUGAGUUGAUAAAUUUACAUGCAGACAGUAAAAUUACCACAAUCACUUACCCCAUCAGCGACACAAAAGCACACAAAAAAAAAAAUAACUUGAAUAAUCACGACUUCGCGUCCCCACUCCUAGCGCACCAAUGAUGCUAUUAUUUAAUUACCACAAUCACUCACCCCAUACGAACAGCGACACAAAAGCACCCAAAAAAAAAAAUAACUUGAAUAAUCACGACUUCGCGUCCCCACUUCCAGCGCACCAAUGAUGCUAUUAUUUAAUUACCACAAUCACUCAUCCCAUACGAACAGCAACACAAAAGCACACAUAAUAAUUAACUUGAAUAAUCACGACUUCGCGUCCCCACUUCCAGCGCGGAUACACGUUAAUUGAUAUGGUCAAAAAAGUCGAGAACACCAUCAAGGAAUGUGCAAGCCUCUUGAAAUCGGUUGGAAAAACUGCAAAAUCGUUGAGAGUACACAGCAAAAAAAGUAGUAAAACGCCUGCAUGUAAAAAUGGGUUGUGUAGUUAUUUUUGUGUGAUAUUACACAAUUUAGUAGUACUCCGCUUCACAAUUUUUUCUAACACCAUUUACACCUAAAAUGUGUAAAAUUAUACACAUUUUUCGUUAAUAUUGCAUUUGCGUGUUGUUUGCUAUCCAGCUGUCAAAAUAUCCAAACUAAACUCAACUCGCGUGAAUCAAAACAGUUCGGAAAAUCAGCAAGAGUGAAUAUUUUGAUUCGUUUGAGGAUUAAAACCAUCUUCAAGGCUGAAAAUCAUGAAAAUAUACAAAGGUAAGUGUUUACCUACUUCCGUUAUAAAAGAAUGACAUAAAAACACUAUUCCCAGGAUUUUUUUAGGUUUGAAAUUUCCCGGAAGCGACGGUCCAAAACCGAUCCUACUGCAAGUGUCCGGCCAACCAGCUGGCGCCACAAUUCACUGUUUAAGAAGCCGAUUCGGUGUUGCGACCAGCAGCAGUUGCCACGAUUGGCAUCGUUUGCCACUGCACCAGGAACCCUCUGGACGAUAUCUGGUUCUCGAAAACUUCCGGAAUCAACGCUGCCACUGAAGCUGCAAAACCAUAGAAGCCGAAAAUUGUCCCGAACGGGCUCGUGUCAAGGUAGACGGAGAAUACGCAGCCAGUCAAGUUUCCGUCGCUGACCUCCGCCGGCUCCGGAGGUAACUCGAAGAGGGUGGCACUGGCGCUGGUGAGUGAAGUUGUAAUUGCUUGUUCAAUUUGAACACCGGCAGACAGGAGCAGGACAGCGUGUUUCCCCGUGUUUCCCACCGAUACUUGCUCGUUCAUGACUUCACCGUCAAAAAUAUCGCUGAUUCGCGCCGGAAUCUGUUCGAACAGUGUUUUGCUCUGGGCGCGAUUCUUGAACCGAGCUGGCUGGAUUUGCCCCCGCUGACGUUGCCAUUGCGUGAUGCUUCGAACGUUAUGGUGCUCCCCUCUCGCCGGGUAGUGACGAAACCCCGAAAGGCCUGAAUCCGCUUCAGAAAUCGGUCAACGAGACAUACAUCUCUAACCCACACGAACGUCGUGCGAAUGCUCUGCAAUUCGUACAACUUUUUAUACGAAGUCCCAUUCUUCAACCCUUUAGGAGGAACCACACCCGGGUCGUUUGCGAUCAUCGUCAUCUCGGCCACACAUGGAAGGUUGGCCGCGAAAAGGAUACGCACCUCGUCAACACCUGGGCCGUUCGCGAUCAUCCGCACAUCGACCACAGAACAACCGAUUCGGAAGGAAUGUUGUCCACUCACUAGCCGUAUAACACCAGUUCUGGCUUAAAAUCAGGUGCAAUCUUCACGAAUCAACGCCGGGCAUUCGAGCUAGCUGCGGUAAUCAUGCCGAGAUUCCUGGGGCGUGGAACAACGCGUGCCGAUUCUGAACGAGAGGUGGCCAUGAAGAGGAAUCGCACCUUUUCCACACCCAAGCCGGUUACGGUCAUCCACACCUCGGCCGCAGAACAUCGAUUCGACAGUGAAGUUGGCCUCGAAAAGGAAACGCAUCGUUUCCACUCUCCGGCCGGUGAAGGUCAUCCACACCUCGGCCGCAGACCAAUUGAUUCGAGGGAUCUUGUGCGAUCAUCACGAGACAAAGCCGGGUGUUCGAACUUGCAACGGAGUUCAAAUCUAAACAUUCCAUGGCCGCGGUAAAACCGAUUCCGAAAGAAUUUGGCCGCGAAGAGGAAACGCAUCAAGUCCACACUCGGGCCGUUCUCAUUCGCAGUUCGGCCACGGGAGGAAGGUUGGCCGUGAAUAGGAACAGGAACAGAAUAGCAGUUCUGCCUUCAAAUCUGGGGCGAAGUUCCCGGAUUAACGUCGUGUGUCCAAGUUGGCUGCGGUAUUUAGGCCAGGAAACGAUCGAUCGAUGGGAAGAUUGGCCGCAAGGAGAAACCACACCCGGGUCGUUUGCGAUCAUGCGCAUUUCGGCCACGGAAGAAAUGUUGUUCGCGAAGAGGAUGCCACCUCGUCCACACCCGGGCAGUUCGCGAUCAUCUCGUUCACACCCGAGCAUCCACCGGAUGCUGCUCGACGAUUGUCUCGACGGCCUUAUCGAAGAAAUCUCGGAAAUUUUCUGCGCAAUAAACAAAAACUUGAGAAAAAUCGUUCUGUUUACGUUUAAAUUGACAUUUCUAAUUUGAAAGAACCAACUCGAUAUCUACCCCUGGGGUAAAAAUGGGUUUUGUGUAAAAUUACACGUUUUUAAGAGUACAUUCAUAGAUGUAAUUUUAAGUGAUUUUUUUCACAAAGGUGAUGUGCAUGCUUUUGCAUGCGAUUUUACCAUCGGUUUUUUUUGCUGUGCAGUGGGCCUAAGAUGGCGGCCUUCGAUAUUAUCUAGCCAAACUUUUGAAAAUGGCGAAUAGUUUAAAUAAAUAAAGUGUUUGCCUUGUUUCAGUUUAAAACGACAAAAUAUGCAGUCUAGAAUCAAUUUCUUAAAAAACUUGUUUAGAGAUACGCCACGUUCAAAUAUUAGUCUAGAACAGUUGAAGGGAGCGUGCCGCGAAAGCCGUCACGAAAAAAUAGUUUCCCAUGCAAAUUUUGAGUUGCAUAUUUAUUGGGCGGACUCCGACGAGGCCCGCUUGCCAUCUGUCGAUGGAUACGCGCAACUCACGAAAACUGUCAUGUUAGGGGACGGCUGAUUAAAGCACUACCUAAAGUGCAUAAACCAGGCAACGAGAUGCGAGAAAUCAUUUCAGCAGUGGAUGCCCCAACCAGUCGGAUCGCAAAGUGGCUUGUCGAGGAAUUCAAGAGUAUGCCGAAACCCUUCCCGAGCCGAUCGAUCAUCAGUUCGCAGGUGUUCACAAAGGAGCUCUUAGAGUCGGGACCGAUAGCUGAUGAUGAAAUAAUGGUUUCCUUCGACGUAAAAGCAUUGUUUCCAAGCAUACCAGUAAACAACGCAAUAGGAACUCUAUGGGAUUGGCUGCAAUCACAAUACGAGGGAGAACCAUGGAGACAAAAAACGAUCCAGUAUAUAACAUUCGUCAAAUUAUGCAUGGAACAGAGCUACUUCCAGUUCAGGGAUUGCAUCUACCAACAGAGGAUGGGAGCAUCGAUGGGUAACCCACUGUCACCGUUUCUGAGCGAUGUUUAUAUGGCUGCUUUGGAACACGAACUACAGACCAAAAACCUACUACCAGAACGUUGGUGGAGAUACGUGGAUGACGUCUUCUGCAUCAUCAAAAGGGAUUCACUAACAACGGUACUGGACACCAUAAACAGUGCACGCAGAAGCAUCAAGUUCACUUACGAAAUGGAAGUCGAAGGAAAGUUACCUUUCUUAGACAUCUUGAUCCUAAGAGAACCAGGUUGCCCAUCUUCGUUUUCUUUCGAGGCUUCCUGUAGAGGAAGCCAACAAACACCAGAAGAACAAUCCCAGCCACGUCAAACCAUCAAUUCCAACAUAAGAUGGCAGCAUACCAUUAUUUCAUACAUAGGAUGACAACUUUACCCCUCAGCGAAGCAGGAAAACAAAAAGAAUUGGAGUACAUUUUUGAAACAGCGGAAAUCAACGGUUACAGCAGAACAACUAUCCAAGCAAUCAUCGAUAAGAAGGAAAGAAAACUCCACAGAACGUCACUCACUACCCUUACACCACCAGUAGAGCCACUACGAAGAGCAGCAGUAGAAUUCGACUACAGGAUAACACGCCCAUUACGACAAAAACUGGCUAAAUUUGGCAGCGAUUUAGUGUUCAGCAGUAGAAACAGCCAGUUGGAAUCCAUCUUAGGUUCAACGAAAGACCCCAUACCGACUUUAGGCAAACCCGGCAUUUACGAAGUAUCCUGCGGCCACUGUGAUAUGAGCUACAUUGGACAAACUAAGAGAUUGCUGCAAACCAGGUUGAACGAACAUAUAGACACCGAUGUCAGAAUUGCUAAGGAGGAAAUACGGAAAGGAUUUGUCCCCCAUUUCAAGUCAGCAGUAGCCGAACACAUCAUCAAGGAGAAACAUAACAUCACAACUAGCGACGCGGUCAUCUUAAGACACAUCACGAACCCAUCGAAGCUUGCUGUCGCCGAAAGUUUGGAAAUCUUCAAGGCAGGCAACAAACGUUUACUCAACAAGGAUUCAGGUAACGGCUCAACGUGGCUGUUUAAGCUGUUACCUAUACAGGCACCAAAGAAGAACAAGGAGGUAGUACACAGCAAAAAAUCCGAUGGUAAAAUCGCAUGCAAAAGUAUGCACAUCACCUUCGUCAAAAUAAACACUUAAUAUUACACACUGCAUGUACAAUUUUUGCAACACACCAAAAAAAUGUUUCAACCGACGGGAUUCAACCCCAGCACCAACAGUAAGGACUGGCGCCUUAGCCCACUCGGCCAUCAGACCGAUGAAAAGCUGCAUGGAUAAACGCAUAUAUGAGCUUGACAUUUUGGGCAAGUAGGUUUCCCAUACUGAUGGGCUACAUAUUUCAAAGUGUAAAAUCACAUAAAAUUGAAUAAAAUAAUGCAAUAUUUAUUUUACACCCAGGCCUUUUACACGCAGCUGGAUUACUACUUUUUUAGCUGUGUACCUACAGUAACUACAAAUACGGAUACACCAGCGAUGAACCUUCAGUCGAGAACAGAACACUGAUGAAGUCUGCAAGUAGUAGACGAAAAAAUAUAUAGCGGAAUUAAAAGGAAAAACUCGUCUCUUUGUAUUCAUAAAAAAAAACUUGUUAUCACGAUUUCAAGGAUCGAACAUAGAAAAAUACCUUGUGGUGUCACUUGAGAGAUCCUGCUAUCGGCGGGAUUCCGCGAUCCGAUCGAGUUUCGAUGCCGGAAGGUUUCCACGGUUUGGAUGAUCUGCACAGGCGUGAUUUGAAAUGCUUUUGAACAGCACUUAAAAAACAACAAACUCAAACGUCAACGUAAACAAUCCCGUGACAUAAUCGGGACUUACUGUCAUGUACCGAUUCUCGGAAAUGAUAUUAAAAUGAUUAAAAUUUAUUAUUUUCAUGUAUUUGAUUGUUAAGUAAAGGUUUAUUGUUGUUAUAUUAUAGUAUUUAUUAUUAAACAUAAAAAAAAUAAUAUUUGUUCCUAACAUAAAAAAUUAACCAUCUGGAAUAAAAUAUACAAACUGCCAGUAUUGACACACGGUACGGUUACCGUGUUCAGCACACUAGUGCCAUCUAUGAUUUGAAAUUUAGUUCCACAAAAAUGCCACUAGAGGGAAAUAACGAAAAUCCCCUGUCCGUACCCCAUUGUUGCU